rnacentral:misc_RNA from 1 species
UUUCCGUAGGUGAACCUGCGGAAGGAUCAUUCACAAUCAGUGUUUUAUUGCACUUUUUAAACAAUCCAUAUCCACCUUGUGUGCAACGUUAUGAGCCCCUCUAUCGUUAUCUUUUAUGUUACAGAAAAGGGAACCUCUACAACUUACCAACAUUACCUUUAACUUAUUUGUCUGAACAUUUGUUAUCACGAAUUAACUUAAUUCGAAAAUACAACUUUCAACAACGGAUCUCUUGGCUCUC